rnacentral:rRNA from 1 species
CCGGACCUUACUGCUAUCGGGGUGGGACUAAGACAUGCGAGUCGAGCGUCUCUAGCUAUGUUGAGACGCGGCAGACGGCUCAGUAACACGUGGCUAACCUACCCUCAGGACGAGGACAAACCCGGGAAACUGGGGCUAAUACUCGAUAGGUGAGAAUGUCUGGAAUGAUUUCUCACUCAAAGGGCCUUGGGAACAUGCUUCCAAUGUCGCCUGGGGAUGGGGCCGCGUCCGAUCAGGUUGUUGGUGAGGUAAUGGCUCACCAAGCCUAUAACCGGUACGGGCCGUGAGAGCGGUAGCCCGGAGAUGGGUACUGAGACAAGGACCCAGGCCCUACGGGGCGCAGCAGUCGCGAAAACUCCGCAAUGCACGAAAGUGUGACGGGGCUACCCCGAGUGCCAUCCGCUGAGGGUGGCUUUUCCUUGGUAUAACUAGCCGAGGGAAUAAGGAGAGGGCAAGACUGGUGUCAGCCGCCGCGGUAAUACCAGCUCUCCGAGUGGUAGGGAUGAUUAUUGGGCUUAAAGCGUCCGUAGCCGGCUUAGCAAGUCUCCUGUUAAAUUCAGCGACCUAAUCGUUGAGCCGCGGGAGAUACUACUAGGCUAGGAGGCGGGAGAGGUCGACGGUACUUCUGGGGUAGGGGUGAAAUCCUAUAAUCCCAGGAGGACCACCAGUGGCCAAAGGCUGUCGACUAGAACGCGCUCCACGGUGAGGGACGAAAGCUGGGGGAGCGAACCGGAUUAGAUACCCGGUAGUCCCAGCUCUUAAACGAUGCGGGCCAAGGUGUUGGGAGGCUACGU